rnacentral:lncRNA from 1 species
UAUGGCGUGGGGUACUUUGCUGCCCUUGGGCAGAAUCUGCAUCCCUCCCAGCCAGCAGGCGCUGCGGACCGUCUCCUCCCUCUCCCUCCAGGCUCCUGUUUUCCCACUGUCCCCACUCCUGCUGCACCAGUCCCUCUGCCCUCCUUUCCAAGUGCCAGCCCGUGGCCACCUCAGAGCUUGCACAGGCUGUUCCCACUGCCUGGAACUUGCUCAUCCUGCACUUGCCUUCUCUCGGCUUUAGCUGGAGUCACCCUGAGCGUCCCCUCCCCUCCAUCCUGUCCCCAGGGACACACGAUCCAAGAGAGCAGUCGCUGAGUGCGCCUUCCCGCCUCUUCCAUAAAGCCAGAGAGUUGGCGACUGUCCUUACUGCAAACCCUGGUUCACACUGGCUCCCCUGGGAGGGAGGUGGUUUGGGCCCACAUGCCCUGUGUUCCUGCUCAGAAUGGGCAUUAGAAAUGCUGCCAUAGCCUGUGCCACUGCAGUGGAAGCAUUUUUAAGAAACGGCUUAUAUCUUAAGACGAACUUCAGAUGCAUGGGGUCAGAACGCUGUGUCCAUCUGCAUCUUUGCCGAGGGAUCGGGUAGCCUGGAGUUUGCCCUCUGCUGUGUUGGCUUGAAGCUCAUAGGAGACUUAAGACGGGCUCUCGAGCAACCAACGUUCUGUCCUUUGCUGUAGACUGUGAAGCAUCCUGUGUGUGUGAAGCACCCACCGUCAGUCACGUGUGCCCGGUGCUUUCUCUCAGAACUCAUCAAGAAGCAUGAGGCUGUCCACACGGAGCCUUUGGAUGAGCUGUACAAGGCGCUGGCAGAGACUCUGAUGGCCAAGGAGUCCACCCAGGGCCACCGGAGCUAUUUGCUGGUAUGAGAAGGGCACCCUCCUCCCCCUCACAACCCUGAUACCCUUCCUGCACAGAAAAAGUGAAAAUGUGGGUGUGGGUUCAAAUCCUGACUCACCCAUUCUGCAGUCUUAGGCAUGAGGUCCGUUAACCUUCUUUAGCCUCAGUUUCCCUGUGUGUAAAUCAAGCACUUCAACAACAACAGCAUGUCUCGUGGAGUUGUUGGGCAUUUGUCCAAUAGGUGACACACACUACCUGCUUCACAAGGACCUGGUGCCCAAUCCUCAAAGAAUAUUUGACAGGGCUGG